rnacentral:rRNA from 1 species
UGCAGUCGAACGGUAACAGGAAGCAGCUUGCUGCUUYGCUGACGAGUGGCGGACGGGUGAGUAAUGUCUGGGAAACUGCCCGAUGGAGGGGGAUAACUACUGGAAACGGUAGCUAAUACCGCAUAAYGUCGCAAGACCAAAGAGGGGGACCUUCGGGCCUCUUGCCAUCGGAUGUGCCCAGAUGGGAUUAGCUUGUUGGUGAGGUAACGGCUCACCAAGGCGACGAUCCCUAGCUGGUCUGAGAGGAUGACCAGCCACACUGGAACUGAGACACGGUCCAGACUCCUACGGGAGGCAGCAGUGGGGAAUAUUGCACAAUGGGCGCAAGCCUGAUGCAGCCAUGCCGCGUGUAUGAAGAAGGCCUUCGGGUUGUAAAGUACUUUCAGCGGGGAGGAAGGGGUUAAGGUUAAUAACCUUAGUCAUUGACGUUACCCGCAGAAGAAGCACCGGCUAACUCCGUGCCAGCAGCCGCGGUAAUACGGAGGGUGCAAGCGUUAAUCGGAAUUACUGGGCGUAAAGCGCACGCAGGCGGUCUGUCAAGUCGGAUGUGAAAUCCCCGGGCUCAACCUGGGAACUGCAUUCGAAACUGGCAGGCUUGAGUCUCGUAGAGGGGGGUAGAAUUCCAGGUGUAGCGGUGAAAUGCGUAGAGAUCUGGAGGAAUACCGGUGGCGAAGGCGGCCCCCUGGACGAAGACUGACGCUCAGGUGCGAAAGCGUGGGGAGCAAACAGGAUUAGAUACCCUGGUAGUCCACGCCGUAAACGAUGUCUAUUUGGAGGUUGUGCCCUUGAGGCGUGGCUUCCGGAGCUAACGCGUUAAAUAGACCGCCUGGGGAGUACGGCCGCAAGGUUAAACUCAAAUGAAUUGACGGGGGCCCGCACAAGCGGUGGAGCAUGUGGUUUAAUUCGAUGCAACGCGAAGAACCUUACCUGGUCUUGACAUCCACAGAAUUGGCAGAGAUGCCUUGGUGCCUUCGGGAACUGUGAGACAGUGCUGCAUGGCUGUCGUCAGCUCGUGUUGUAAAUGUUGGGUAAGUCCCGCACCAGCGCAACUUAUUCUUUGUUGC